rnacentral:rRNA from 1 species
AUACGGAGGAUCCGAGCGUUAUCCGGAUUUAUUGGGUUUAAAGGGUGCGCAGGCGGCCAUUUAAGUCAGCGGUUAAAUCGUGGGGCUCAACCCCAUUCUGCCGUUGAUACUGGGUGGCUUGAUUGCGGUCGAGGUUGGCGGAAUUCGUUGUGUAGCGGUGAAAUGCAUAGAUAUGACGAAGAACACCGAUUGCGUAGGCAGCUGACCAGACCGCAAAUGACGCUCAUGCACGAAAGUGCGGGGAUCGAACAGGAUUAGAUACCCUGGUAGUCCGCACAGUAAACGAUGAAUACUUGUUUUCGGCGAUAUAAUGUCGGAGGCAAAGCGAAAGCGAUAAGUAUUCCACCUGGGGAGUACGCCGGCAACGGUGAAACUCAAAUGAACUGACGGGG